GAUGAACGCUGGCGGCGUGCUUAACACAUGCAAGUCGAACGAUGAAGCCCAGCUUGCUGGGUGGAUUAGUGGCGAACGGGUGAGUAACACGUGAGUAACCUGCCCUUAACUCUGGGAUAAGCCUGGGAAACUGGGUCUAAUACCGGAUAGGAGCGUCCACCGCAUGGUGGGUGUUGGAAAGAUUUAUCGGUUUUGGAUGGACUCGCGGCCUAUCAGCUUGUUGGUGAGGUAAUGGCUCACCAAGGCGACGACGGGUAGCCGGCCUGAGAGGGUGACCGGCCACACUGGGACUAAGACACGGCCCAGACUCCUACGGGAGGCAGCAGUGGGGAAUAUUGCACAAUGGGCGCAAGCCUGAUGCAGCGACGCCGCGUGAGGGAUGACGGCCUUCGGGUUGUAAACCUCUUUCAGUAGGGAAGAAGCGAAAGUGACGGUACCUGCAGAAGAAGCACCGGCUAACUACGUG
rnacentral:rRNA from 1 species